GCGACAUCCAUAUUAUUUUUUCGAUGUUCGAUUACAUUGGAAUAAAAUGUCUCACAAAUCAUACUUUUUGGGGGUAAAAGAACUCCCCUACCUGCCAUCAGUUGGUUUGACGAAAGAGUAUAUGUACAGUUAUGCAAAGGGGAUUUUAGAUAUGAGCCCAAAAUUGUACAGUACUUAUGCAAGGAGAAAAUUCACAUUAACCAAAUUAAAUUGUACACAUACACAUGCCUUCGUUUGA
rnacentral:lncRNA from 1 species